ACCUAGCUACUGAGUCCCAAACAGGACGAGACGCGCGUCCUAGAU
rnacentral:hammerhead_ribozyme from 1 species